rfam:Larimichthys crocea isolate SSNF unplaced genomic scaffold scaffold19, whole genome shotgun sequence.
GGUAGUGUGGCCGAGUGGUCUAAGGCGCUGGAUUUAGGCUCCAGUCUCUCAUGGAGGCGUGGGUUCAAAUCCCACCACUGCCA